CUAGCGGCAGGCCUAACACAUGCAAGUCGAGGGGUAGAAGGAGCUUGCUCCUUUGAGACCGGCGCACGGGUGCGUAACGCGUAUGCAAUCUACCUUAUACAGGGGAAUAGCCCAGAGAAAUUUGGAUUAAUGCCCCAUGGUAUUAUAGAAUGGCAUCAUUUUAUAAUUAAAGUUCCAACGGUAUAAGAUGAGCAUGCGUCCCAUUAGUUAGUUGGUAAGGUAACGGCUUACCAAGACUAUGAUGGGUAGGGGUCCUGAGAGGGAGAUCCCCCACACUGGUACUGAGACACGGACCAGACUCCUACGGGAGGCAGCAGUGAGGAAUAUUGGUCAAUGGACGCAAGUCUGAACCAGCCAUGCCGCGUGCAGGAAGAAGCAUCUAUGGUGUGUAAACUGCUUUUAUACAGGAAGAAACAACGCUACGUGUAGCGUCUUGACGGUACUGUAAGAAUAAGGACCGGCUAACUCCGUGCCAGCAGCCGCGGUAAU
rnacentral:rRNA from 1 species